ACAACAUUCGGACCGUCGGUCUACCGAGUAAUAUCACCCGCUCGGUGGAAGAUCUUCCCUCUGUCGU
rnacentral:pre_miRNA from 1 species